rnacentral:rRNA from 1 species
GGUGAGUAACACGUGGGUAACCUACCCCUGAGUGGGGAAUAACGACCCGAAAGGGUCGCUAAUACCGCAUGUGCGAGAGCAAAGCUGCGCUCGGGGAGGGGCCUGCGGCCCAUCAGGUAGUUGGUAGGGUAAUAGCCUACCAAGCCGAUGACGGGUAGCUGAUCUGAGAGGAUGACCAGCCACACUGGCACUGAGACACGGGCCAUACUCCUACGGGAGGCAGCAGCGAGGAAUAUUGCGCAAUGGGCGAAAGCCUGACGCAGUAACGCCGCGUGCGGGACGAAGGCCUUCGGGUCGUAAACCGCUUUUCGGAGGGACGAGGGACGGUACCUCUGGAAUAAGUCUCGGCUAACUACGUGCCAGCAGCCGCGGUAAAACGUAGGAGGCGAGCGUUAUCCGGAUUCACUGGGCGUAAAGCGCGUGUAGGUGGUUCGUUAAGUCGCUGGUGAAAGCCCCUGGCUCAACUGGGGGAGGUCUGGCGAAAC